CCCCAAUGAUUUUCACAAUGGCCGGUUGGUGGCCUGCAUCCAGAAUAAUUUAUUUGAUUAUUAAUAUUUUUUUUAUUUUUGCACAGUUAGACGACGGUACACCAAAAAAACUGGUGAUAUGUUUACUGAACUACCAUGACCAGCAGUGUCUGGGGCAAGAAUAUGAGUAUUAACUGUACGGGAUCCAAAACGUAAGCAAGCAUUAAAGAAAAGCGUGAAGGACUACGAUAACGAAAUUUUGAAGAACUUAUAGUAACUAAGUAAUUAUUAAAACGUUCUCUCAAAGAUA